rnacentral:rRNA from 1 species
ACCACUCUCGGCAACGGAUAUCUCGGCUCUCGCAUCGAUGAAGAACGUAGCGAAAUGCGAUACUUGGUGUGAAUUGCAGAAUCCCGUGAACCAUCGAGUUUUUGAACGCAAGUUGCGCCCAAAGCCUUUUGGCCGAGGGCACGUCUGCCUGGGUGUCACGCAACAU